rnacentral:rRNA from 1 species
AUGAACGCUGGCGGCGUGCUUAACACAUGCAAGUCGAACGGAAAGGCCCAAGCUUGCUUGGGUACUCGAGUGGCGAACGGGUGAGUAACACGUGGGUGAUCUGCCCUGCACUUCGGGAUAAGCCUGGGAAACUGGGUCUAAUACCGGAUAGGACGAUGGUUUGGAUGCCAUUGUGGAAAGUUUUUUCGGUGUGGGAUGAGCUCGCGGCCUAUCAGCUUGUUGGUGGGGUAAUGGCCUACCAAGGCGUCGACGGGUAGCCGGCCUGAGAGGGUGUACGGCCACAUUGGGAGUGAGCUACGGCCCAGACUCCGACGUGAGGCAGCAGUGGGGGAUGUUGCACAAUGGGCGCAAGCCUGAUGCAGCGACGCCGCGUGGGGGAUGAGGGCCUUCGGGUUGUAAAGGCCUAUCGCUAGGGACGAAGCGUUUUUGUGACGGUACCUGGAGAAGAAGCACCGGCUAACUACGUG